GAUGAACGCUGGCGGCGUGCCUAAUACAUGCAAGUCGAGCGAACGGACGAGAAGCUUGCUUCUCUGAUGUUAGCGGCGGACGGGUGAGUAACACGUGGAUAACCUACCUAUAAGACUGGGAUAACUUCGGGAAACCGGAGCUAAUACCGGAUAAUAUUUUGAACCGCAUGGUUCAAAAGUGAAAGACGGUCUUGCUGUCACUUAUAGGUGGAUCCGCGCUGCAUUAGCUAGUUGGUAAGGUAACGGCUUACCAAGGCAACGAUGCAUAGCCGACCUGAGAGGGUGAUCGGCCACACUGGAACUGAGACACGGUCCAGACUCCUACGGGAGGCAGCAGUAGGGAAUCUUCCGCAAUGGGCGAAAGCCUGACGGAGCAACGCCGCGUGAGUGAUGAAGGUCUUCGGAUCGUAAAACUCUGUUAUUAGGGAAGAACAUAUGUGUAAGUAACUGUGCACAUCUUGACGGUACCUAAUCAGAAAGCCACGGCUAACUACGUGCCAGCAGCCGCGGUAAUACGUAGGUGGCAAGCGUUAUCCGGAAUUAUUGGGCGUAAAGCGCGCGUAGGCGGUUUUUUAAGUCUGAUGUGAAAGCCCACGGCUCAACCGUGGAAGGUCAUUGGAAACUGGAAAACUUGAGUGCAGAAGAGGAAAGUGGAAUUCCAUGUGUAGCGGUGAAAUGCGCAGAGAUAUGGAGGAACACCAGUGGCGAAGGCGACUUUCUGGUCUGUAACUGACGCUGAUGUGCGAAAGCGUGGGGAUCAAACAGGAUUAGAUACCCUGGUAGUCCACGCCGUAAACGAUGAGUGCUAAGUGUUAGGGGGUUUCCGCCCCUUAGUGCUGCAGCUAACGCAUUAAGCACUCCGCCUGGGGAGUACGACCGCAAGGUUGAAACUCAAAGGAAUUGACGGGGACCCGCACAAGCGGUGGAGCAUGUGGUUUAAUUCGAAGCAACGCGAAGAACCUUACCAAAUCUUGACAUCCUUUGACAACUCUAGAGAUAGAGCCUUCCCCUUCGGGGGACAAAGUGACAGGUGGUGCAUGGUUGUCGUCAGCUCGUGUCGUGAGAUGUUGGGUUAAGUCCCGCAACGAGCGCAACCCUUAAGCUUAGUUGCCAUCAUUAAGUUGGGCACUCUAAGUUGACUGCCGGUGACAAACCGGAGGAAGGUGGGGAUGACGUCAAAUCAUCAUGCCCCUUAUGAUUUGGGCUACACACGUGCUACAAUGGACAAUACAAAGGGCAGCGAAACCGCGAGGUCAAGCAAAUCCCAUAAAGUUGUUCUCAGUUCGGAUUGUAGUCUGCAACUCGACUACAUGAAGCUGGAAUCGCUAGUAAUCGUAGAUCAGCAUGCUACGGUGAAUACGUUCCCGGGUCU
rnacentral:rRNA from 1 species